rnacentral:lncRNA from 1 species
UUAUUUUUGAAAAAAUAUAUAAGGAGCAAAGAAUAGAAAAAGAAAAAGUAAUAAACGUUCAACACAACAAACAUAUUAGUUCGAAUACCAUGCAAAUAAAAAGAAUUUGAAAAAGCUGAAUAAAACUAACUAAGAAAUUUCAACGCUACAAUAUAAAGAAUAUGUAAAUCUUUUAAAAGAAUUGUUGAAAUUUAAAGAAAUUCUCGAUUUGAUGAAGAUGGUAGUGCCAAACUCGAUGCAACACGGAAACUCAUUCUUCGUCCGUAGCACGUGCUCAAUCUUGGCCUCGGAGCCCAUGAAGGAGGAAGAGAAAGCAGAGAAGAAGAGAAUGGGGCUUUUUCGUGGAUUUCUACGAUUUACAAUUUAAAUUAGGGUUAAGAUGGGUGGAUCAUUAAUUACACGUUAUGUGCGGAGAGAAGACGAAGGAUUUGGUUAAAGUUGGUGGAUCAUUAAUUACACGUUAUAUGCGGAGGAAAAACGAAGGAUUGAGGGUGGACCAUUAAUUAGACAUUACUGGACGAGGAAAGGCGAAGAGUUUGUUUCACAAUGUGAAGCCAAAAGUAAAAAAAAAUACAAUCACGGGACAUUUCUUUUAAGUUUUAAUGUAUAUUAGUGCAGGAACCCGCGCGUUGCGGCGGAUAGGAAGGAUUGUAGUA